AUUGAACGCUGGCGGCAGGCCUAACACAUGCAAGUCGAGCGGAUGAAGGGAGCUUGCUCCUGGAUUCAGCGGCGGACGGGUGAGUAAUGCCUAGGAAUCUGCCUGGUAGUGGGGGAUAACGUCCGGAAACGGGCGCUAAUACCGCAUCCGUCCUGAGGGAGAAAGUGGGGGAUCUUCGGACCUCACGCUAUCAGAUGAGCCUAGGUCGGAUUAGCUAGUUGGUGGGGUAAAGGCCUACCAAGGCGACGAUCCGUAACUGGUCUGAGAGGAUGAUCAGUCACGCUGGAACUGAGACACGGUCCAGACUCCUACGGGAGGGAGCAGUGGGGAAUAUGAGACAAGGGGCGAAAGCGUGAUCCAGCCGUGCCGCGUGUGUGAAGAAGGUCUUCGGAUUGUAGAGCUCUUUAAGUUGGGAGCAAGGGCAGUAAGUUAAUACCUUGCUGUGUUGACGUUACCAACAGAAGAAGCACCGGCUAACUACGUG
rnacentral:rRNA from 1 species